rnacentral:tRNA from 1 species
CAGGGAGACAACACAAUGAUUUUGAUGCGUGAGUGCUUUUAUUCUUAGGCCGAAAUCCUGUCACAUUAGGUCGAUCGGUACCUCAGCUUUGAAGUUAAGGAUCAGCAGUAAUGUUGAUUGCUUGAUGGAGAUUUUCAGUUCCUAAACUUUGUCUAGGUCACACCCCAAAAGGGAUGAGACUCCUGGGCCAUUAGCUCAGGUGGUUAGAGCGCACCCCUGAUAAGGGUGAGGUCCCUGGUUCAAGUCCAGGAUGGCCCAUUCGGUGUUGGGGGUUUAGCUCAGUUGGUAGAGCGCCUGCUUUGCAAGCAGGAUGUCAGGAGUUCGAGUCUCCUAACCUCCACUGACCGAACUUGAUUCCCAUCUCCAAUUAUUUUGGAGUUGAGCUCGAUUGGAGUGUGAUUUAGAUGUGUCCGCUGGAUGACCCCAGCUUCCUGUCAUUCCAAGUUUUAGGUUGAUGCCUUGAAUUUGGUUGAUAAGAUGCUGGGCUCAAAUCAAAUGAUCAAGCAAUUGAUGAUUUGAUUUGAAGUUCUAGCAGAACCUUGACAACUGCAUAGGUGAGUCUGGAAAAAACAAAGCAUCUUACAGAUGCAUUGUUUUGAAUCUGAUUUUCUGAAAGGGAGAUUGGAUCUAGAACAAUGAAAAUUCUUUUGAGCAAGAGCCGAGACUCUUGAACGUUCUUUGAUUGGUGUCGAGCCGAUCAGAGUUUGAUCUUGUUUUUAGCAAUAAAAACUUGAGAAUCUGCUUUCAACGGCGGUAAGCGUUCAGGAGGUUAAUU